CCCUUAGAGUUUGAUCCUGGCUCAGAGCGAACGCUGGCGGCAGGCUUAACACAUGCAAGUCGAACGGGCGUAGCAAUACGUCAGUGGCAGACGGGUGAGUAACGCGUGGGAACGUACCUUUUGGUUCGGAACAACCCAGGGAAACUUGGGCUAAUACCGGAUAAGCCCUUACGGGGAAAGAUUUAUCGCCGAAAGAUCGGCCCGCGUCUGAUUAGCUUGUUGGUGAGGUAACGGCUCACCAAGGCGACGAUCAGUAGCUGGUCUGAGAGGAUGAUCAGCCACAUUGGGACUGAGACACGGCCCAAACUCCUACGGGAGGCAGCAGUGGGGAAUAUUGGACAAUGGGCGCAAGCCUGAUCCAGCCAUGCCGCGUGAGUGAUGAAGGCCCUAGGGUUGUAAAGCUCUUUUGUGCGGGAAGAUAAUGACGGUACCGCAAGAAUAAGCCCCGGCUAACUUCGUGCCAGCAGCCGCGGUAAUACGAAGGGGGCUAGCGUUGCUCGGAAUCACUGGGCGUAAAGGGUGCGUAGGCGGGUCUUUAAGUCAGGGGUGAAAUCCUGGAGCUCAACUCCAGAACUGCCUUUGAUACUGAGGAUCUUGAGUUCGGGAGAGGUGAGUGGAACUGCGAGUGUAGAGGUGAAAUUCGUAGAUAUUCGCAAGAACACCAGUGGCGAAAGCGGCUCACUGGCCCGAUACUGACGCUGAGCACGAAAGCGUGGGGAGCAA
rnacentral:rRNA from 1 species